GUGCUCUCUCCAGUAGCACACAUACUAACUUUGGAAUGAUACAGAGAAGGUAGGUGUGGCCUCUGAGCAAAGAUGACAUGCAAAUUUAUGAAACAUUCCAUAUUUUU
rnacentral:snRNA from 1 species